AACACGGUGGUGCAGUUGGUAGCGCAGUUGCCUUGCAAGAAGGUCCUGGGUUCGAUUCCCGACCGGGGGUCU